AGCGAACGCUGGCGGCAGGCCUAACACAUGCAAGUCGAGCGCCCCGCAAGGGGAGCGGCAGACGGGAGAGUAACACGUGGGAACGUACCCUUCAGUUCGGAACAACCCAGGGAAACUUGGGCUAAUACCGAAUACGUCCGUAAGGAGAAAGAUUUAUCGCUGAAGGAUCGGCCCGCGUCUGAUUAGCUUGUUGGUGAGGUAACGGCUCACCAAGGCGACGAUCAGUAGCUGGUCUGAGAGGAUGAUCAGCCUCACUGGGACUGAGACACGGCCCAGACUCCUACGGGAGGCAGCAGUGGGGAAUAUUGGACAAUGGGCGCAAGCCUGAUCCAGCCAUGCCGCGUGGAUGAUGAAGGCCCUAGGGUUGUAAAGUCCUUUCGGCGGGGAAGAUAAUGACGGUACCCGCAGAAGAAGCCCCGGCUAACUUCGUGCCAGCAGCCGCCGUAACAC
rnacentral:rRNA from 1 species